GGUUGAUCCUGCCAGUAGUCAUAUGCUUGUCUCAAAGAUUAAGCCAUGCAUGUCUAAGUAUAAACAACUUUUUACUGUGAAACUGCGAAUGGCUCAUUAAAUCAGUUAUAGUUUAUUUGAUUAUACCUUUAUUACUUGGAUAACCGUGGUAAUUCUAGAGCUAAUACAUGCUAAAAAACCCGACUUCUGGAAGGGUUGUAUUUAUUAGAUAAAAAACCAAUGUGGGCAACCACUUUACUGGUGAUUCAUAAUAACUUUUCGAAUCGCAUGGCCUUGCGCUGGCGAUGUCUCAU
rnacentral:rRNA from 1 species